AUUGAACGCUAGCGGGAUGCUUUACACAUGCAAGUUGAACGAGUGGCGGACGGGUGAGCAAUAUAUCGGAACGUGCCCAGUAGCGGGGGAUAACUACUCGCAAGCGUGGCUAACACCGCUUACCAUUCGAGCGGCCGAUAUCGGAUUAGCUAGUUGGUGGGGUAAAGGUGCACCAAGGCAACGAUCCGUAGCUGGUAUGAGAGGACGACCAGCCACACUGGAACUGAGACACGGCCCAUACUCCUACGGGAGGCAGCAGUGGGGAAUAUGGGACAAUGGGGGAAACCAUGAUCCAGCCAUCCCGCGUGUAUGAGAAGGCCUUCGGGUUGUAAAGUACUUUUAGCAGAGAAGCGGUAUCUGCAGAAUAAGCACCGGCUAACUACGUGCCAGCAGCCGCGGUAAUUC
rnacentral:rRNA from 1 species